GAACGGGUGAGUAACACGUGGGCAACCUGCCCAAAAGAGGGGGAUAACACUUGGAAACAGGUGCUAAUACCGCAUAACCAUAGUUACCGUAUGGUAACUAUGUAAAAGGUGGCUAUGCUACCGCUUUUGGAUGGGCCCGCGGCGCAUUAGCUAGUUGGUGGGGUAAAGGCUUACCAAGGCAAUGAUGCGUAGCCGAACUGAGAGGUUGAUCGGCCACAUUGGGACUGAGACACGGCCCAAACUACUACGGGAGGCAGCAGUAGGGAAUCUUCCACAAUGGGCGAAAGCCUGAUGGAGCAACGCCGCGUGGGUGAAGAAGGUCUUCGGAUCGUAAAACCCUGUUGUUAGAGAAGAAAGUGCGUGAGAGUAACUGUUCACGUUUCGACGGUAUCUAACCAGAAAGCCACGGCUAACUACGUGCCAGCAGCCGCGGUAAUACGUAGGUGGCAAGCGUUAUCCGGAUUUAUUGGGCGUAAAGGGAACGCAGGCGGUCUUUUAAGUCUGAUGUGAAAGCCUUCGGCUUAACCGGAGUAGUGCAUUGGAAACUGGGAGACUUGAGUGCAGAAGAGGAGAGUGGAACUCCAUGUGUAGCGGUGAAAUGCGUAGAUAUAUGGAAGAACACCAGUGGCGAAAGCGGCUCUCUGGUCUGUAACUGACGCUGAGGUUCGAAAGCGUGGGUAGCAAACAGGAUUAGAUACCCUGGUAGUCCACGCCGUAAACGAUGAAUGCUAAGUGUUGGAGGGUUUCCGCCCUUCAGUGCUGCAGCUAACGCAAUAAGCAUUCCGCCUGGGGAGUACNACCGCAA
rnacentral:rRNA from 1 species